CUCCACAGAGACAAAUGAAUGAGCCACACACAACACCUUAUAUGGAUCAGGCCUUCAUUGGGGCACCUGAACCAUUAAAGAAACAAACAAGUGGCAUCAUCACUUCCCCAGUGUCACUUAGUAACUGGUGAGCUGGGACUUGGCACUACAACCAUUUUCCUUCUACCCUCUGCUCCUUUCAGGAAAAAAGGAAGGCAAAAAAAAGACAGAUCAAUGAUGGCCGAAGUUCCAACAUUCCUGAUGCUUCCAAGGUACUCAAGUGAAGACAAGGAUUUUGAUCGUUCAGUGGCACUGUGAACUACUGACUUUAGCAACUCCUCUAUGACUUGUCCACAUUCCAGAUGGACUCAACAUUCCAUUUAAAAAAAAAAAAACAAAAAA